rnacentral:RNase_MRP_RNA from 2 species
UUCAUGGACAAAGAAUUGUUUUCGAAGCUAUCAAAAGGCCCGUUAGUGGCUCCAUAAUGCUUUGGGGAAAGUCUCCUACCGUCUAUGCGGAGACGUAGCGAACCAAUCAGUUCGUUUGGUGGGCCAUAAUUAGCUUAGAACCAUGAUGUUUGUAGGUUCCUAUGAAACUGGCUUACUAGUACUUGAUGGAUCCCUUCGUGGAUCUUGAUAUUGUGUUUGUUUGCGUCAUGUUCCAGGGUACCAAGUCGUGUGGACAUUCUUCUUGUGGCUUGUCAUAAUGACAAAAUAUUCGGUAAUGGAAUUGUGUAUUCUAGACGAUAGUUAUGACAAUUGGCUAUAAUUGUUUAGCUAACUCAAUGGAGCUCACUCUUGGUCCAUGG